AUGAUCACCUCAGCCACUGGAAUUAUUUCUCUUCUCGAUGAAGAAGAACCACAGCUUAAGGAAUUUGCACUACACAAAUUGAAUGCAGUUGUCAAUGACUUCUGGGCAGAAAUUUCUGAGUCUGUAGACAAAAUAGAAGUUUUGUAUGAAGAUGAAGGUUUCCAGAGUAAGCAGUUUGCAGCCUUAGUGGCAUCUAAAGUAUUUUAUCACCUGGGAGCUUUUGAGGAGUCUCUGAAUUAUGCUCUUGGAGCAGGUGAUCUCUUCAAUGUCAAUGACAAUUCUGAGUAUGUGCAGACAAAAUGCAUCGAUCACUAUACCAAGCAGUGUGUGGAAAAUGCAGAUUUGCCUGAAGGAGAAAAAAAAACAAUUGACCAGAGAUUGGAAGCCAUUGUGAAUAAAAUGUUCCAACAAUGUCUAGAUGACACAAGUAUAAGCAGGCUAUCGGCAUCGCUUUGGAGACAAGAAGACUAGAUGUCUUUGAGAAGACCAUACUAGAAUCGAAUGAUGUCCCGGGAAUGCUAGCUUAUAGCCUUAAGCUCUGUAUAUCUUUAAUGCAGAAUAAACAGUUCCAGAAUAAAGUACUGAGAGUCCUAGUUAAAAUCUACAUGAACUUGGAGAAACCUGAUUUCAUCAAUGUUUGUCAGUGCUUAAUAUUCUUAGAUGAUCCUCAAGCUAUGAGUGACAUCUUAGAAAAACUGGUGAAGGAAGACAACCUCCUCAUGGCCUAUCAGAUCUGCUUUGAUUUGUAUGAAAGUGCCAGCCAGCAGUUUCUGUCCUCCGUGAUCCAGAAUCUUGGAACUGUGGGCACCCCCAUUGCCUCUGUGCCUGGCUCCACCAACACAGGCACUGUUCCAGGUUCUGAGAAAGACAGUGAAAUGAUGGAGACAGAAGACAAGACAGGCCGUACACUUGCUGGAAAGACACCAGAUGCGAGUCCAGAGCCCAAGGACCAGACUUCGAAAAUGAUUAAAAUUUUAAGCGGUGAAAUGGCUAUUGAGUUACAUCUGCAAUUUCUAAUACGGAAUAAUAACACAGACCUCAUGAUUCUAAAAAACACAAAGGAUGCAGUACGGAAUUCAGUAUGCCACACAGCAACUGUCAUAGCAAACUCUUUCAUGCACUGUGGGACUACCAGUGACCAGUUUCUUAGAGAUAACUUGGAAUGGUUGGCCAGAGCCACUAACUGGGCUAAAUUUACUGCUACAGCCAGUUUGGGUGUAAUUCAUAAGGGUCAUGAGAAGGAAGCAUUGCAGUUAAUGGCAACCUACCUUCCCAAAGACACGUUUCCAGGGUCAGCCUACCAGGAAGGCGGGGGGCUCUAUGCACUAGGGCUCAUCCAUGCCAAUCAUGGUGGCGACAUAAUCGAUUACCUGCUGCAUCAGCUCAAGAAUGCCAGCAAUGAUAUCGUUCAGCAUGGAGGCAGCCUGGGCCUUGGUUUGGCUGCCAUGAGAACUGCACACCAGGAUGUUUAUGAUUUCCUAAAAACCAACCUUUACCAGGAUGAUGCUGUGACAGGAGAAGCAGCUGGCCUGGCCCUAGGUUUGGUUAUGUUGGGCUCUAAAAAUGCCCAGGCUAUCGAGGACAUGGUUGGCUAUGCCCAGGAAACCCAGCAUGAGAAGAUCCUGCGUGGUCUCGCCGUCGGCAUUCCCUUAGUGAUGUAUGGGAGGAUGGAAGAGGUUGAUGCACUCAUUGAGUCUCUCUGUCAGGAUAAGGACCCAAUUCUUCGAAGGUCUGGAAUGUAUACAGUGGCCAUGGCUUAUUGUGACUCUGGUAACAACAAAGCUAUUCGACGCCGACUACAUGUUGCUGUCAGUGAUGUUAAUGACGAUGUUAGGAGGGCAGCAGUCGAAUCACUUGGCUUCAUUCUAUUCAGGACCCCUGAGUAGUGUCCCAGUGUGGUCUCUCUGCUGUCCGAGAGUUACAAUCCCCAUGUGCGCUACGGAGCUGCGAUGGCCCUGGGCAUCUGCUGUGCUGGUACAGGAAACAAGGAAGCUAUUAAUUUGCUAGAACCAAUGACAAAUGAUCCUGUGAACUACAUGAGGCAAGGGGCUCUCAUAGCCUCCAUGCUCAUCAUGAUCCAGCAGACUGAGAUCACAUGUCCAAAGGUGAAUCAGUUCCGACAGCUGUAUUCCAAAGUUAUCCAUGAUAAGCAUGAUGAUGUCAUGGCCAAGUUUGGCGCUAUUCUGGCCCAGGGCAUACUAGAUGCAGGUGGCCAUAAUGUUACAAUCUCCUUACAGUCCAGAACCGGGCACACACAUAUGCCUUCUGUGGUUGGCGUCCUUGUCUUUACCCAGUUCUGGUUCUGGUUUCCUCUCACAUUUUCUGUCAUUGGCUUAUACCCCUACCUGUGUCGGCCUGAACAAAGAUUUAAAGAUGCCGAAGGUGCAGUAUAAAUCAAACUGUAAACCAUCCACAUUUGUGUAUCCUGCACCUCUGGAAGUACCAAAAGAAAGGUUAGAUACCAACCUUUCAAGCCACUGUCCAUCGGAGGAAAAGAUUUCUACUGCUGUGUUGUCUAUUACUGCCAAAUCCAAAAAGAAGGAAAAAGAAAAAGAAAAAAAAAGGAGGAAGAGAAAAUGGAAGUGGAUGAAGCAGAGAAAAAAGAAGAAAAAGAGAAGAAAAAGGAACCUGAGCCAAAUUUCCAGCUGUUGGAUAACCCAGCCCGAGUUAUGCCUGCCCAGCUGAAGGUCCUUACCAUGCAAGAGACCUGUAGAUACCAACCUUUCAAGCCACUGUCCAUCGGAGGCAUCAUCAUUCUGGAGGACACCAGCGAAGACAUUGAGGAACUGGUGGAACCUGUGGCAGCACACGGCCCCAAAAUCGAGGAGGAAGAGCAAGAGCCAGAGCCCCCAGAGCCCUUUGAGUAUAUCGAUGACUAAGGGACCAGACGGGCUCUGGCCACUCAAAGCCCGGCCAGCUAUGGAGAGUGCGGCCAGCUGUGGAGAGCAUGCAGCGGGAGCCCUCGCAGGACCAGCAGGACCAUCUCCUCCAUGCAUGUGGCCUCGCUGUGCGCUCACCUCAAGA